CCUACGGGGGGCAGCAGUGAGGAAUAUUGGUCAAUGGACGAGAGUCUGAACCAGCCAAGUAGCGUGAAGGAUGACUGCCCUAUGGGUUGUAAACUUCUUUUAUAUGGGAAUAAAAUGUUCCACGUGUGGGAUUUUGUAUGUACCAUAUGAAUAAGGAUCGGCUAACUCCGUGCCAGCAGCCGCGGUAAUACGGAGGAUCCGAGCGUUAUCCGGAUUUAUUGGGUUUAAAGGGAGCGUAGGUGGAUUGUUAAGUCAGUUGUGAAAGUUUGCGGCUCAACCGUAAAAUUGCAGUUGAAACUGGCAGUCUUGAGUACAGUAGAGGUGGGCGGAAUUCGUGGUGUAGCGGUGAAAUGCUUAGAUAUCACGAAGAACUCCGAGUGCGAAGGCAGUUCACUGGACUGCAACUGACACUGAGGCUCGAAAGUGUGGGUAUCAAACAGGAUUAGAUACCCCUGUAGUC
rnacentral:rRNA from 1 species